rnacentral:lncRNA from 1 species
GGGGGGGGUUGGGGAGGGUACGGAGGGCGGGGGCGAGCGGAGACAGCCAAUCCGCGGAGCCACGGGCGAGGCCAGACACCUAGUCCCACGGGGAUUGAAUUAUCCUCCUACCCCGCCCCCCCCCCAGCCCUGGGGAAGGGUGGGGCGAGGAAUGAAAGCCUCCCCAGCCCCGCCCACGCUCACGCACCUGUCGCCGGCUGCGCUCACCGGAGACCCAUGGAUCAAUCGCCAGCCCAAGGUCGGUAGGCAACGCAAGGAAACCGGUGAUCCUCCCAAAGCAUGAAGGGACCAGUAUUUUCGUUCCCUGGGGACGGUGCUGAAGACCCAGUUUGGAGCAUGCAUCACCCGGCAGCCACAUGGUGGCAGUGUUUCCUAAUUGUUGAAAAAGUUCCUGCAAAUAAAAGAAACACAGCUUCUGGAUCAGUGAAAACUAUGAGCCUAACAAGACAACAUGACCUUUGCUGGCUCUCCAAUGGCUAAAGGAGGGAAAAGCCCACAAUCCUCUACUUUGAGUGUAAGGCCGUUCACAAAGGCAACCCAGGCUAUCUUUCCAUCCCCGCGCCCCCCCCUCCCCUCUCCUCACCCUUCCACAAUCAGCCAUUAGCUUCUCACCUGCUCUGUGAGCAGGCAUAACUUUUUCUCCUCAAGUUUUGUAUAUAUCAUGCCCCACUGCUUGAAAUGACCUGGACGGGGUACUGGAUUCCUGCCACAUGGACCGUGGAAGAGUGGUCUCAAGGGUUUACCUAGCCUGGGGUACUCUUGCGAAAGACACCUGGGAGGCGGGGCCAGCAGGUCCUCAGCCACCAGGAAGGCAGGGAGCCCACUUCCUGGGACGUCAGGCAAGCUCUCCGCCCCAAUCUGAAUGAAGUCAGCUGAAACAAAUCCCUCCCUCUCGGGGGUGAAAUAGAAGAGCAGGGCAGUCAAAGAGGACACUGAGCCCUUGGGAUCUGGGAGUCACACACAGUGAUCCUGAGCACCUCUCCCAGACACUUAUGAACCCAGAGCCUGGCAUCAUCUCAGAGCCUGGCACCAAGCUGUAUUGGUUACAGGAGGGCACAUGCAUCUUCAUGUUCCCUGUAGGCUUAGCCAAAAUCACCAUCACUGUACACAUCCUUUGCUCAGGGAGCUAAUACAGCAGUGAGGUUGGGAGGAUCAAUUCCCAAGCUAGACUUCCCGGGUUUGAAACCCAUCUUUUUUUUUUUUUUUUUUUUUUGCCAUUUCUUGGGCCGCUCCCGCGGCAAUAUGGAGGUUCCCAGGCUAGGGGUUGAACCAGAGCUGUAGCCGCCAGGCUACACCAGAGCCACAGCAACAUGGGAUC